UCGUUUUGCUCCUGUUUGUAUCCUGUGGUGUAUGAGGUACACACACUUGGCUUGUGCCUGUCUCGUGCAAGGCCUCUUUUAUCCAAAUUUGGGUGAAGCAAGCCUAUGGCUUCACCUAAUAUGGUCAGGCCUGGCUGCCAUCCUGAUUGGCUAUUCUGUCUCCAAAGGCCCAUUUGUCUCAGGCUGUAUUGAUAAAAAGAGAUGAGCAGAUAACACAAUGUGCACUGUUGUUGUAUUCAUGCCUGCUUGAUGCUGCCUACUGCUAUUGAUCUCUGCUUCAGUAGGGCUAUGCCUCACUGUCUUAUUGCAUCCUGCCUACACCUGCCAAGACGAGAAGCCCUGGAAGGGACACACAGAUCGUCCUGAGGGGCCAGGAUAAGGUCAGAGAUUGCCUGCCUCCUUUCCCCAGCAUCCUGUGAAGCCUGGGAAGACUCAGAAGCCUCAGCAGCUGACAAGGCAUCGACAGAAGUCCCUGAAAGUGUUUGAGAGCUGUCUGAAGCUGUGGCUAGCCCCGUGAGCUGGGGGCUAAUUUUUGUGCCACAUAUACAGGGCAGUUGGUGGAAUACAGGCAUGAAGGAUGUGUGGUUGGAGGGUAAAAAUGGGUAAGCUUGAAUUGAGUCCACAUGUACAGCUGGGACAAAGAAAUAGAAGUGGGGAGGCAACAAACCAGCAGCCUGUCAUAAGAAAGAAGACAAAAAAACAAGGAAUGGCAGAAAUCCCUCAGCUCCCCUCCCCCUAGACUAGUUUCAGGAAAUCUGAUGUUGGUGUGUUACUUGCCAGCACCCUUCCAGACAGACUUCAAACUCUCUCUCAGUCUCCUUCCUCUGAAAAGGCUGAUAACAUUAAAUUAUUAUCAGUUAUUCUUUCAGUACCUCAUGGUGCAAAAGUUCAGUGUCCUAACGCAGGAGGUCUUGCGUUGCUGAAGAGCAUUUGGGUGUCAGAAUGCCACUGUAUAGUGGAAUCAGGUGGGGGGAGGAGGUUUAGCAUUGUUUUUACAAUGUCUGAGAAAUGAGUGCUUUUCAGUACUAAUUAGUACUACAUAGUAAUAGUAGUUAGUAAUUAGUAAUACUUAGAAAAGGCAGAAGAACAGUCAGGCUGUGAAAUGAAGCACUCAGCUACCAACUGUCAUGUUUCAGAGAUACCUGGUGAUUUGAUUUGAUCCUGCUAGCCAUAUUAAUUAGGAUAUUUUGAAAACAAGUUUGAGUCAACCUUUAUUUAUGCUGACAUUUCUUUAAUGCAAAUAUUUGUGUGAAGCUGUUCCUUUCCACAGUGCUCACUACUAUAAACAGUCAUCACAACAGCAGCACUUACUAGGUGAUUUACCUUUAUUUUACAGGUGGGGAUAAACCUCUUCAUAGCCAAGUGGACAGCUCAUCUGACAAGGCACAUUUAGGAUUUGAGAUCUCUUGGUACCUUUUCCUUAAUCAAAUGACUGUUUAUUUUGAGACAGAGCAGCACAUAAUAUAUAUAGGGUGUAGAGGAAAUCCUGCCUCUACAAAACUGAGUAUCACCCAGGCAUUACAGUGCAGAUACACAUCCUUUAGGUCUAAGCUAUGCUUUUCAAACAAAUCAAAUUGCUCACCAACUGGCAAACUAACAAAUAUCAGCACUGAUCAAAAUGAAAUCCAGAUGUCCUUGAAAUCCAUGUAUCAUCCACUUCUUCCAGAUGUAAAAAAUCCAUGCACAGUCAUAAGGAACCUCAGUCCUGCAGUCAGUUUCCAUCAUGAUUCUCAAAAUCAGCAC